CGGCAGAGGAAAAAGAUACAGGGGAGGGGAAAAGAGAUCGUGACCUGGGCAUAGGAACCCUAUCCACAUUCCUCCUUGCUGCCGCCGCCUCUCUCCUUCUCCCGGCGUCUCUCCCUCUUCCCCUCUCUCUCCGUUAGUCCUCCACCACUCGUUCACACGGCAUCGGCGUCCAUGGUGCGGGCAAGCCGGAGGAAGAAGAUAGGGUCAAACUCCGCUGCUUGCCGGCCAGAGCGAGGGCAACUGACGUGACCCUGGCGACGGUGGCGGAGGCGGUGCUUCUUGUGCGGUGCUGGACCAUGGCGACGUGGGGGGGCGGCCUCGUCUACAAGCACAAGGCGAGAUCUGCUGACCCAUGAGGACAAGUUGACCUACAUGGAUUCUAUGCGGAGGGGACGCGGCCACCUGGAGGCGGACGCAGCAGGCCGGCGGCAGUGCGUCGAUCUGGGCGAUCUCCAGGGAGAGGGGCCACUGACUGCAAGUUGAGGUGAGAUGAAUUUUACACUUGGCUCUCAGAUUCCUAAGUUUGCCCAUGCGGAGCCUAUUUGUGUUUUGGAUUGGUCAGUUGGUUGCAGCUGUGAUGCGCAAGCUUUCCGUAAGGGACAUAUGUGAGCUAGGAUUUUGCUCUCUCGUAGUUUAGGAUCAGAUGUGGAGGUUUGUUUUAAUUAAGUUGAACCUGCUUUACCCACCAUACGUCAUACUUUUUUACUUUCUUGUGAUACUAACUUGCAGUCCUAAUAUUUUUUGGUUUUGACCGGGCUGUGCUGAUAUUGAUAUUACACAAUAACAAAAGGGAUGAUUGGUAUGGAUCUAAUCAUGAUGGGAGCAGAAACACGGUGGAGAAAAUGCAGAUUGGCACUCGAUGCGUAUGUGAGGAUUAAUGGGAUACAUACAAGCGGAGAUAUAGGCGAAGUUGCAGUCAUGGUGUGCUUGUACAUCCAUGAUGUAUGACUACUCGAAGAAGAUGCCAUGGCUGCAUAACAAAGUGACCUGGUAGUAUCAUGUGUUUCGGUCUUGUUUUUUCUUUUACUGUUUCGUCCAUUCAGUUUUGUUCGUGGAGUAAUCAGUUUAGGUUUUUUUAAUUAUCUUGUGCAAGCGAUGCCAGCGGGUUCCACCUGAAUUCGGUGUUGAAGAAUAAUGAUGUUCACCUGUUUGGAAUUUCUAAGCACCUUGUUGUAGAGAUCGGAAUGGCUAAUGAGUGGAAGUAACUAUGCGUUUUGUUUUUC